GACAGGCUUAACACAUGCAAGUCGAGGGGCAGCGGGGUAGUAAGCUUGCUUACUACUGCCGGCGACCGGCGCACGGGUGAGUAACACGUAUGCAACCUGGCCGUCACAGAGGGAUAACCGGGAGAAAUCCCGCCUAAUACCGCAUAAUACCGGGGAAGGACAUCCUUUUCCGGUCAAAGGAGCGAUCCGGUGACGGAUGGGCAUGCGCCGCAUUAGUUAGUUGGCGGUGUAACGGACCACCAAGACGACGAUGCGUAGGGGUUCUGAGAGGAAGGUCCCCCACACUGGUACUGAGACACGGACCAGACUCCUACGGGAGGCAGCAGUGAGGAAUAUUGGUCAAUGGGCGAGAGCCUGAACCAGCCAAGUCGCGUGAGGGAAGACGGUCCUAUGGAUUGUAAACCUCUUUUGCCGGGGAGCAAAAAGCGGUACGUGUACCGCAUCGAGAGUACCCGGAGAAAAAGCAUCGGCUAACUCCGUGCCAGCAGCCGCGGUAAUACGGAGGAUGCGAGCGUUAUCCGGAUUUAUUGGGUUUAAAGGGUGCGCAGGCGGCGAGUUAAGUCAGCGGUAAAAUUUCGGGGCUCAACCCCGACGAGCCGUUGAAACUGGCUUGCUAGAGUGGGCGAGAAGUAUGCGGAAUGCGUGGUGUAGCGGUGAAAUGCAUAGAUAUCACGCAGAACUCCGAUUGCGAAGGCAGCAUACCGGCGCCCAACUGACGCUCAGGCACGAAAGCGUGGGUAUCGAACAGGAUUAGAUACCCUGGUAGUCCACGCAGUAAACGA
rnacentral:rRNA from 1 species